rnacentral:rRNA from 1 species
GAAGUCGGAAUCGCUAGUAAUCGCAGGUCAGAAUACUGCGGUGAAUACGUUCCCGGGCCUUGUACACACCGCCCGUCAAGUCAUGAAAGUCGGUAACACCUGAAGCCGGUGGCCCAACCCUUGUGGAGGGAGCCGUCGAAGGUGGGAUCGGCGAUUGGGACGAAGUCGGAACAAGGUAGCCGUACCGGAAGGUGCGGCUGGAUCA